UAUGUGAUCGUCUCUCGCAUAUCAAUAAGCGGAGGAAAAGAAACUAACAAGGAUUCCCCUAGUAGCGGCGAGUGAAGCGGGAAGAGCUCAAAUUUGAAAUCUUAAAGGGUUUCCCUUUACGAAUUGUAGUUUAAAGAAGUGUUUUCUGUUGAGGUUUUGGUAAAAGUUCUUUGGAAUAGGACAUCAUAGAGGGUGAGAAUCCCGUAUUUGACCUUUACUUUCAACUUUGUGAUACACUUUCAAAGAGUCGGAUUGUUUGGGAAUGCAGUCCAAAAUGGGUGGUAAAUUUCAUCUAAAGCUAAAUAUUGGCGAGAGACCGAUAGCGAACAAGUACCGUGAGGGAAAGAUGAAAAGAACUUUGAAAAGAGAGUUAAACAGUACGUGAAAUUGUCAAAAGGGAAGCGUUUGACACCAGUGUUGUUUUUCUGAAAAUCAAUUAAAGAACUGUUUAUGCUAAGCUGUUUAGACUUUAUCAGCUAACUGUUUAGUUUUGAGCUUUUCUUUAAUGCACUUUUCAGUUAACAAGUCAACAUCAAUUUCUUUUGCUGUAAAAAAGCUUGAGGAAGGUGGCUUGAGAUUCGUCUUAAGUGUUUAUAGCCUCUUGCCUAUGCAGUCGGAGAGAUUGAGGUCUGCAGCGUAGAUCCUUCGGGGCUAAAUGCAUUUGUGCUAAGUUAUAGCAUUUUAUAGACAACUUGUUGACUAUGAUUUGUCCUGUAGCUUACUCGCUUAUGUUAUUUUACCUACGCUUAGGAUGUUGAGUAGCGACAUACGCAC
rnacentral:rRNA from 1 species